AUUUACCCCCCAUAGCAGUGGGUAGGAAAUGGUUCUCCUGUUGCACAAGAUGUUGCAAGAUUUCAAGUUUUUUCCAUCCUGCCUGAAAGACACAGGAUCCAUAAAGGUUUUGUUUUUUUUCUCAUUACCGCAGUAAACCAGUUGAUAGCCAAGUCACUGACUUGGCAUAUGGGAGACCCAGCAUCAUGUUCCUGCUCUUUCUGGCUCAGUGUUCUGGCCUCUGGGCUGCUGAACUGGUCUCACUGUUACCAACAAAUAUUUUAUUACUUACAUCCAAUCUCAAAUGACUCCGACAGGAAAGCAACAUCCAAGAGUGGCCUCUUGCCUAGGGGUUAAGAUAUCCCUCUUGGGUUUAGCAGAUCCAAGCUCAGCUCCCUGAUGUGUAUCAGGCCUCGAAAUGUAGGGCUUCUGCACUCCAGCAGAAUGCUGAAACCAUUGGCUGCUCUGAGUGGCCAGUGUUUAUGUGUGUUUUGACCAGAAGCAUCCUGGACCAAAGAAAUCUUUUCCCAGUGGAAGUUCUCUGAAGCCAAUAAGUAUAAACAACCAAAAAACAUUGGGAGAGGCAAGGUGACAGACUAUCAGAAGCAGCUCUCUGAACAAGGAUGGGCUAAGGCUUACUUCUGCCAGCAAUUCAGUUCAGUUUCUGCGCUGUUGUGUCAUUUUGCUAAGAUUUAAUGGAAACAGCUAUAAAUUGUGGUUAUGGUUAGCCAGCAAGAAUGGUAUCUGUCAGGCAAGUUCUGCCACCCUUACUCAUGUGCAGUAUUUCAUUUCACAGGUUGUCUUGGCUAUUUUGCUGGACCAUCCCUGUAAGGCUGCUCUGCCCUGCUCCUCUCUGCCUCCAGCAGUGCUAUUAAGGAAAGGAGGGAGCUCUGAAUUCCUGCAGUCUCUGGUUUGGAGUCCCAGGGGGCAACUCGUGCCUAUUUGUUAAUCCCCCACCCCAAGACACUCUGCUGAGAAUAGUGUCAUUCCUCAAGAUUGUUGUCUCAGACAAACUGGAAAUGACUUCAUUUAGAUCAUGAAAAUACCCAACUGUCAGGACACUGGAUUUGGAUGUCACUGCAGACAUAUAUGCCCAGCCAUUCAGGUUCUCAGAGGAAAUUUCUGACACACCUUUGCUGUGCAAAUGAACACCACAUAGUUAGUGCUGACCAAGGCAGCAAGAUUUACUCAAUUCCAUGACACUUAAGUCUCUGCUCUGUGAUUUUAUGUGGAGGUCUGGUUUGGAAGUACCCACACACAAAGCAUAGACAUGUAUUGGAUGGGGCAGUUGUUGACAAACAGACAUGACUCAUUGCUCAUGCCUGAAUGCUCUUUGUUCCUGAAGGUGAGUGUGGUCACUUCACUUGGGAGUGAAGCUGGUGACCUCAGGGACUUGGAAAAGUGCAAACUCAGCUUUUCUGCACCUUGAGAAUUCACAAGAAGGUUCUGAAGCAAUUUCUUAGGAACAGAGUCUUGCGUUGUCUGUGAAGCUUGGGGCUAGUGUGUGGGGAAAUUGUUCAGUGCUUGGUUCUAAUGUAGAUGUUAUAGGUGGCCAUGAGAAGUUCAUUCACUCUAUUUCUUUGAUUUCCCAGCUGUAAAAGCAUGCGGUAACGCACUGGCACAGGCUGCCCAGGGAGUUGGUGGAGUCACCGUCCCUGGAGGCAUCGAACAACCGUGGAGAUGUGGCACUAAGCAAUAUGGGGUAGUGGGCAUAGUGGGGUUGGGUUGACGGUCAGACAUGAUGAUCUUAGAGAGCUUUUCCAACCUUAAUAAUUCUUUGAUUCUGUAAAAUGGAUUAAUAGCUUCUUACUCAUGUGGCUACUAGCUAGCAAGUUCUUCAGGUAAGGAGUCAGGCUUGUACAGGUACUGGCUUUGCUCUUCAGCGGGAUUCUCCUACAAAAUGAAUAUAUAAUAUCAACAACUAAUUGGGGUAGGAUGGAUUUUUGGAAGAACUUCUUCCAGAAGCUGCUUGGAUUCAAAGAAAGUACAUUUUGUUAAUCUUCAUUUGUGUGGUUUCUACCCAUGGGUUAAUACUGAAAAGGUUUUAUCCAAUUCAGGGUAUACAGGGUGCAAAUAUUUCUAUUUGAAUAAUACUGGAGAAUAAAUUUAGAAAUGUUUAAAGAGGGUAUGAAUAC
ensembl:lncRNA